AUUGUACUUCAUCAGGUGCUCUGGUAUACUUUUUCCCGACACCUGUUGGAGUGCACUAA
rnacentral:pre_miRNA from 1 species